CUGGAACAAUAACCUUUGCCGCAAAACCUCCCUUCAAAAGCCAUCAGGAUCUUCAGCUCAAUCGUCUCUGCUCUCUCCAAAAAAAGACACCAUUGGACAUGGAUUUCUGUGGCCUCCCCUCAUUUACGUGUGGAGCUCUGGCAGAAACAGGAUGCAUCCAAACCCAACCUUCAGUGGAUGUUAUUGAGAUUUUAUGUGAGCGAUCAACAAACAGCUGUCCAUAAUUAUGUCCCCUGACAAACCUCAGAGGAGGAAGACUACGGAACACAGAAGAUAAACGUUUCAUGACUCUGGGAGGACGCGUGAGAACGUGGAGAGAACGUCAGCAUGCGAAGGGAGAACAUACAAACUCCACAUAAUCCUAGAACCUUCUGCGAAACAACAAUACAAACAACUUUACCACCAUACAUCUUGGUACAGUCUUAAAAAUUCAGUUUCUGCUUGUGGCUCCGGUUAAAAUGACUUGAUUUAACACGUGUUGUAAUUCCCUCACGCACAGAUGUAAUUUUCUCCCCAGACCUUAGCUUUUGCAUGCUGUUCCAUCAUUUUGUGGAGAAUAUGUGAGCUUGCAGGAGACACGGCAACACAACUCCUCCUUUCUCUAUACCUUGUGCAUCUCUAUUCAUUUAUACCCACGGAGAAAAUGAUUUUGAACUUCCAUGUCACUGUUAAAGCUCUGCAGCACAGCAUGCAGUGUUUGCAAGUUUUAGAAGGUAGCAGAUUUACAAUGCACUCAAAAAUCUGACUUUAUGAAUAAACGUCUGCAGUCAUUUUAGUUACUACUGAUGAAAGCUAAGUAGACUUUUUCUCUGUCGGUGUUUAUCAAUAACAAAUCCAGGCAAUACGCAACACGACUGAGAAAACAUCAGAGCUGUAAAGGUGCUCUGAGUAUUUUUAUAAGUAUUUUCAAACCCCUUGAACUUUGUUUUUGUGGUGUUACAACCACAAACUUCAAUUUAUUUCUUCGGGAUUUCAUGUGAUGGUAAAUCUCAGAAUAGAAUCCAGUCCAGUUGCCUUCAGACGUUGCCUUGUCAGUAAAUAAAGUUCUGCUGAGUGUAAUUCAAUCUUAGUUCAUUUCAAGCUGUUCUGUGAAGGCUUCAGUGGUCAGUUAAGGAGACAUCAGUGAAUAAACGGCAACAUGAAGACCAGUACUGAACAGAUUUAAGUCAAUCGUCCAGCAAUGCACAGAGAAUUGUUAUAUUGUCAGGGUGGUGUGCAGGUUGUGUGUGUGUGUGUGUGUGUGUGUGUGUGUGUG